GCCACGAUAGGUCAAGUGGUAGAGCAGCGGCGUGUUUAGCCGCAGAUCGUGGGUUCGAAUCCCACUCGUGGUA
rnacentral:tRNA from 1 species